GAGGCCAGAUUCGGUACUAUCACUGCUCAUUCGUAAUGAGCAGGUCAGCGGUUCGAGUCCGCUCAUUGGCUUCA
rnacentral:tRNA from 1 species